AGACACAGCAGGAACAGCACUCCUGCAGCAGAGGGAUUGCAGCAACCCCUGACAUUGGUCCUGCCUAAAAGUUCCAAGAACAAUACCAACCGGCUUUUUUGCGACUUUGAAGGAACCAAAACGCAGACGCACAGCAUAAACCCAGCUCACCUUUACAUCCACAUCGCUGCCCGUUCAAAUCAUCGUGCCGUUAUCCAGACCCGCUCUUUUGGGGGCGACCGGGUCCUGUUUCACGAGUCUUUCAAAAGCAACUUGGGGCUUUUCGCAGCAAAGUGCAUCGUUUUCAACCCUCUGAGCAAUCCACGGAGAGGUGCCGGAGCAGAAUUGUUCACCUGAAGCUCGGGUUACAUGUGACCGUGGGAGGGGUCGUCCUGCGAGUAAACACGAAACACAAAACAGCAGCCAAUACAGCGACUAUGCGAGAGUGGAUGAUGCCAAGAGGAGGAGACAGGGCACCCUGCAAGGAGAAGGAGAGGGAGAAGGUGCGGCAGAGGCAGAGAGGACAGCAUCAGCACCACACACUCUGCAAAUCCACUGUUUUAUAGCCUAAUUUAUCAGAAGCAUGUCUUUUGUCCUGUUUUCUUCCCGUGAGCAGAUGGCUCCAUGAGUUUGGUUCUGCUGGAGGUUUCUUCUUGAUAAAAGGGAGUUUUUCCUUUCUACUGUUGCCAACUACUUGCU